UUAAAAAAAUAUGAAACAAAUUUUGUAAAAUAGAAGUUAUAGGAAAAAAAAUAGAAUUUAAAAAAAAAUUGAAACAAAUUUUGUGAAAUAGAAGUUAUAGGAAAAAAAUGGAAUUUAAAAAAAUAUAUGAAACAAAUUUUGUAAAAUAGAAGUUAUAGGAAAAAAAUAGAAUUUAAAAAAAAUUGAAACAAAUUUUGUAAAAUAGAAUUGAAAAAAAAUAUGAAACAAAAUUUGAUUCAUAU
rnacentral:lncRNA from 1 species